rnacentral:rRNA from 1 species
GACGAACGCUGGCGGCGUGCUUAACACAUGCAAGUCGAACGGUGAAGCGCCUUCCUUUUUGGUGGGUGUGGAUGAGUGGCGAACGGGUGAGUAACACGUGAGUAACCUGCCCCCUUCUUCUGGAUAACCGCAUGAAAGUGUGGCUAAUACGGGAUAUUCUGGGUCUGUCGCAUGAUGGGUCUGGGAAAGAUAUUGUUUCGGUGGGGGAUGGGCUCGCGGCCUAGCAGCUUGUUGGUGGGGUGAUGGCCUACCAAGGCGGUGACGGGUAGCCGGCCUGAGAGGGUGGACGGUCACACUGGGACUGAGACACGGCCCAGACUCCUACGGGAGGCAGCAGUGGGGAAUAUUGCACAAUGGGCGCAAGUCUGAUGCAGCGACGCCGCGUGAGGGAUGGAGGCCUUCGGGUUGUGAACCCCUUUCGCCAGUGAAGCAGGCCUGCCUCGUUUGUGGGUGGGUUGACGGUAGCUGGAUAAGAAGCGCCGGCUAACUACGUG